rnacentral:ribozyme from 1 species
AGAGGGGCUGCUCCCUCUCCCCUAAUGCAGCCAAAGGCAGUGACAAGCCUGCACAAAUGCAGAGUCGGGA